rnacentral:rRNA from 1 species
AGAGUUUGAUUCUGGCUCAGGACGAACGCUGGCGGCGUGCUUAACACAUGCAAGUCGAACGAUGAAGCCUAGCUUGCUAGGUGGAUUAGUGGCGAACGGGUGAGUAAUACGUGAGUAACCUACCUUUAACUCUGGGAUAAGCCCGGGAAACUGGGUCUAAUACCGGAUACGACCAAUCUCCGCAUGGGGUGUUGGUGGAAAGCGUUAUGUAGUGGUUAUAGAUGGGCUCACGGCCUAUCAGCUUGUUGGUGAGGUAAUGGCUCACCAAGGCGACGACGGGUAGCCGGCCUGAGAGGGUGACCGGCCACACUGGGACUGAGACACGGCCCAGACUCCUACGGGAGGCAGCAGUGGGGAAUAUUGCACAAUGGGCGCAAGCCUGAUGCAGCGACGCCGCGUGAGGGAUGACGGCCUUCGGGUUGUAAACCUCUGUUAGCAGGGAAGAAGAGAGAUUGACGGUACCUGCAGAGAAAGCGCCGGCUAACUACGUGCCAGCAGCCGCGGUAAUACGUAGGGCGCGAGCGUUGUCCGGAAUUAUUGGGCGUAAAGAGCUUGUAGGCGGUUUGUCGCGUCUGCUGUGAAAGGCCGGGGCUUAACCCCGUGUAUUGCAGUGGGUACGGGCAGACUAGAGUGCAGUAGGGGAGACUGGAAUUCCUGGUGUAGCGGUGGAAUGCGCAGAUAUCAGGAGGAACACCGAUGGCGAAGGCAGGUCUCUGGGCUGUAACUGACGCUGAGAAGCGAAAGCAUGGGGAGCGAACAGGAUUAGAUACCCUGGUAGUCCAUGCCGUAAACGUUGGGCACUAGGUGUGGGGGACAUUCCACGUUUUCCGCGCCGUAGCUAACGCAUUAAGUGCCCCGCCUGGGGAGUACGGCCGCAAGGCUA